rnacentral:rRNA from 1 species
CUAUAAUGCAGUCGAGCGGACAGAAGGGAGCUUGCUCCCGGAUGUUAGCGGCGGACGGGUGAGUAACACGUGGGUAACCUGCCUGUAAGACUGGGAUAACUCCGGGAAACCGGAGCUAAUACCGGAUAGUUCCUUGAACCGCAUGGUUCAAGGAUGAAAGACGGUUUCGGCUGUCACUUACAGAUGGACCCGCGGCGCAUUAGCUAGUUGGUGAGGUAACGGCUCACCAAGGCGACGAUGCGUAGCCGACCUGAGAGGGUGAUCGGCCACACUGGGACUGAGACACGGCCCAGACUCCUACGGGAGGCAGCAGUAGGGAAUCUUCCGCAAUGGACGAAAGUCUGACGGAGCAACGCCGCGUGAGUGAUGAAGGUUUUCGGAUCGUAAAGCUCUGUUGUUAGGGAAGAACAAGUGCAAGAGUAACUGCUUGCACCUUGACGGUACCUAACCAGAAAGCCACGGCUAACUACGUGCCAGCAGCCGCGGUAAUACGUAGGUGGCAAGCGUUGUCCGGAAUUAUUGGGCGUAAAGGGCUCGCAGGCGGUUUCUUAAGUCUGAUGUGAAAGCCCCCGGCUCAACCGGGGAGGGUCAUUGGAAACUGGGAAACUUGAGUGCAGAAGAGGAGAGUGGAAUUCCACGUGUAGCGGUGAAAUGCGUAGAGAUGUGGAGGAACACCAGUGGCGAAGGCGACUCUCUGGUCUGUAACUGACGCUGAGGAGC